UACAGAGGUCCCAAGCGUUGUUCGGAUUCAUUGGGCGUAAAGGGUGCGUAGGUGGCGCCGUAAGUCGGGUGUGAAAUUUCGGAGCUUAACUCCGAAACUGCAUUCGAUACUGCGGUGCUUGAGGACUGGAGAGGAGACUGGAAUUCAUGGUGUAGCAGUGAAAUGCGUAGAGAUCAUGAGGAAGACCAGUGGCGGAGGCGGGUCUCUGGACAGUUCCUGACACUGAGGCACGAAGGCCAGGGGAGCAAACGGG
rnacentral:rRNA from 1 species